AUGUAUGUCUGCAAAAAUCCAGACAACACCAUGCAGAAGGCUAUGGGGUCGAGAUGGCGUAUUAAAUGUGGAAGUGCCUGGUGGGAGUUGCUGGGCAGUGCCAUGAAUGCCCUGAUGUUCUUCCCCUCCUUUGUGAAGGCUCCUGUAGGCAGAAAGAAGCCCAGACAUCUAGAGGAGGGGGAGCAGAUCCUCUUCCUGGACUCUGCGGAGUCUGCACAAGAAGUGUCAGCGUGCAUUGUUCAUGUGCUGGCCUGGCGACGCAGAAGUCACAGGGCUGAGAAAUGGAAGCUGUGGUCCUUCACUGUGUCUGGGCGGCAGUGUGUGUCCACGGGAGCAGAUGGGAACGAGAGGUGA
rnacentral:lncRNA from 1 species